ACAUGGGUAAAUUCCCUGGGCAAAUAACAUGGCCUGAGUUCAACAGCGCACAGUUCAAUGUCAGAGCAACAAGUCUGCUCUUUCAUUGCUAUGUGAACAGGGUUACACCAUUGGUUGUUAACAAGAACGGCAAGCCCCUCCUCCUUUCUGUUUUCCGCACGUGAGUAACAACGUGGAAUCCCUGAAGAUGACAAAGAAGGACUUUAGGCCAAAAUGUAUAAAAGAAGAGUUCAAGAGAAUAACCGCUGUAAGCUUUGAAUCUACCUUCAUGGCCAAACUUGACCAUUAGACCCCAAAACUGAUGGAUGCAGUUUCAUCAAGGGGAGGAGCUAAAGGAGUGAGAGUAAGCAGAUGCUUCCUGAGCUAUGAUGGCAUUUGAAACAACUUUUCCUAAAUUAUGAAGGGUCCGUGGUUUUCUCAUCCACUUAAUUUAAACUCCGGUCAGUCAGUCAAAGAAGAAGAAGUCCAGACCACAAAAAGUCAUCACAGAUUCAUUUUGUUGGACAGUGAUUGCUUAAGGUCCCGGCAGCUGGAGACACUGGCCCCCACUGAUCGGGUUGGCACAAAGGUCGGAGCAGGUGUGU